CUGUCACUGCAGUAUAUAUGCGGUGUACGCGUAUUUAAUCCCUCAGCAUCUUAUUAAAUAAAGGUGAAAUUGUCCGAUAUAUUAAGUUUAGUAUUAUUUAAUAACUUAAUGAAUGUUUAUAUUCGCCUUUUCAAUUAAAAAGGACGCCUUUAACCAAAAUCUAAACAAGCAAACUACACAGUGCAACAGACGAGUGGGAAAUCAAAGACUGGAAUGCUGGGAGAACGCUGGGGAAACUGACGAAGGGGUGAGCUCUGGAAAGGAGGACGGAUACUUCCUGUUCCUGCUGGAGUGACCCGCAGGUCUGACGAGGAGUGAGGGAGAGGAAGGCGGAGAAAGCGAGUUUUCUUUCCAAGUAUGGGAAUCACUGAUGUAAUCAAUGAUGGAAUGGACAAACCUUGCACAACACUUGCUGAUAUCCACAUCAGAUCUCCCAGUCAGAGGACGACGGCGGAAGAAGAACUCAGAAGGCCGAGGACGAGAUUAAAAAGCGAGUUCGGGCGAUAACGCUCAGACUAGAAAUCCGGUUACACAAAGCAGAUGGCUGCAGUGGCCCAAGUCAUCACAGCACUGACGUAUGGACAGUCUGAUCGAAUUAUUACAGCUCCUAGUUCAUCACAGAACAGAGCCUGAAGUUUACUUCCCAGAUAUUUCCGAGACAACUAUACAUAUUGCAUGAAUGUUGAUAUUGGGCUGGGUAUAUGUGGGUAUUUAUUUUUCACUGCCUGUUUGUUUAUUUGUUGUUGUCUAUACUGUCAUGAUCUUUCCAAUAUUUUGGCUUGUUUUGUUGCAUUACUGAUCGCUUGUGCAUCAUUUUUCAUCUGCUGUAGUAUUCAAAUUAUCUGUUCAUGAUGUGAAAUGCUAUGCUGAAGACGGUCAGUUUCUGUAAAUGCCCUUUAGUUUUCUGUUAUAUUUUAGCUACUCCAAAUAGUCUUUUGAACAUAUACUGAAAUAUUCCAAGGAUAACAAACAGUCUACUGAACACAAGUUGACCUAUGUAUGGGGCAAGUAGUCACAAUAUAUAGUGUAAGUUGUCGCAAUAGAACCUGCAAUUAAAAAUUAUUUUCAGAAUUAUUAAAAUUUUAAAUAACUGAUUUCUGUUUUAGUAUAUUUUGAAAUGUAGUUUAUUUCUGUAAUGGCAAGCCAAAUUUUCACCGUAUGGUUAGAUAUAAUCUUCUGUGUGACAUGAUACUACUUUGGUAUUUACAAUAAAUGUAUGAAUUUCUUAAAUAAUAAUAAUAAAUUAACUGAUUCAUUUAAAAAGAAAAAAAAGUGACUGAUGAUGCUUGGCCUUUCAGUUAAAAUAUACAUUCAGUAAUUCUGGAGAAGAAAAUUUGUUGGCUGGAAAGCACACAUUUCCAUCACCUACUCGUGUUAUUUGCGCAUUUUGUUAGUGCACUCAGUGUCACACCUUAUGAUUAUGCUUUUUGUAUCUCUCGUGUCUUCAUCUGUGUCCUCCUCUUCCUCGUUUCCUCUUUUCCCCCUUCCAUAUUGUGCUGCCGCUCCCAGUCUCUGCAGGAACCACAGGGGAUCUUGUUUAUUUACUCUCUUCUUGGGAAUCAAAGCUGUCGCAAUCACACGCUGCCAACUUUAUGGCACUCCCAAAACCCCCCCGUUCCCUGUUUUGUGUCUUCCUUUCCCCAGACACUACGGCCUCCCACUUCCAUCACUGGGGGGAUUUGCACGGCGAAGGGCCGAUGGCCGAACGGGGCUCACCAGUCGCCGAUAAAGCGCGCAGAAGUCUCGCAUAUGGAGUUCGUUGAGUGGAGUCGGUGACAGAGAAUGAGCAGAAGUCCCGGCGGUGUUGAUUUGUACUGUGGCAGGGACCCCCGUGCCUAAUAAGACCUCAGUCUCUGCAUAGUGUCUGACACCACCCUAAUACAGCAUAUGGAAAUGAGGCGUGCAUAUGGCUACAGCUAGGUGAGAUCUGACCCCCGCUACAUAAAUCUGUGCAGCGGCAGCAUUGGCUUUGAAAGAGGGUUGUAAAUCAGUCUCAGUAGAUACGAGAAUAUUGCGGUGUGGAGGUAACGCACACAAAGGUGGUUCUUCACUUGUAUAUUUUAUGUUUUGUAGCCCGUCGUUUCCAUUUGUUUUCACAUUCUCAUCUGAAAUCCUAUCAUGAGGCUGUAAUAAUGUGAGGAUAUGUGUGCAGUGGAGAGUGUGAUAAAAAAAAGAAAGAUUUUGAGGUUGUUUGCAUUAGCUCUGAAGUAGAUGAAUCACUAUGUGUAUUCUAGUGCGGUAUAUUUGUGAAUGUGUGUGAUAAGGGUGUUCACAGAGGACUAAGUGUGCUACAUUGAGUUAUGUAUGCUUGGUUCAGGUUUUAACUAUGUUGAGGAUAGUGAAAACAUGUAAUCAGCGAUAUUCUGGUUUAUCACAAUCAAACCAGAUUAAUAAGUGUACUGAUAAUAAUCAAAAAUGCAAAAAUGAUGCACUGAAAUUAAAGUGCCCCUAUUUCAAAUAUUGCCUUUCAUGCCGUGUGUAUUGUAAAUGUAUGUGAAAGUAAACAAUCUGCAAAGUUGUAAAUCCGAA